AUUGAACGCUGGCGGCAUGCCUUACACAUGCAAGUCGAACGGCAGCACGGGAGCAAUCCUGGUGGCGAGUGGCGAACGGGUGAGUAAUAUAUCGGAACGUGCCCGGUCGUGGGGAUAACGUAGCGAAAGCUACGCUAAUACCGCAUACGAUCUACGGAUGAAAGCGGGGGAUCGCAAGACCUCGCGCGAUUGGAGCGGCCGAUAUCAGAUUAGGUAGUUGGUGAGGUAAAGGCUCACCAAGCCGACGAUCUGUAGCUGGUCUGAGAGGACGACCAGCCACACUGGGACUGAGACACGGCCCAGACUCCUACGGGAGGCAGCAGUGGGGAAUUUUGGACAAUGGGCGCAAGCCUGAUCCAGCAAUGCCGCGUGCAGGAUGAAGGCCUGG
rnacentral:rRNA from 1 species